rnacentral:rRNA from 1 species
GGCGUGACCUCCACUUCUAACUUUGUGCAUUUUGUUGGCGGAAUUUGGUUCUUGUGAAAUACCAAGAUAAGAAUUCUGCGGCUUACUUAUUAAACAUUCAGUUAAAGUAUGUAAAGUAAUUUUUAUAACAAAAAAAAACUUUCAACAACGGAUCUCUUGGCUCUCGCAUCGAUGAAGAACGCAGCGAAAUGUGAUAAGUAAUGUGAAUUGCAGAAUUCAGUGAAUCAUCGAAUCUUUGAACGCACCUUGCGCUCUCUGGUAUUCCGGAGAGCAUGUCUGUUUGAGUGUCAUGAACUCUUCAACCCACUAGUUUUUUAUAAAUUAGUUGGAGAUUGGUUUCUGAGUGUUUUUGCUUUUAGUAAUAAAAGCUCGCUCGUAAUACAUUAGCAUCUCUUGAUUCGAAAUCGGAUUGACUCAGUGUAAUAGACUAUUCGCUGAGGACACGGUUGAAAUUUAUUUCAAUGGUGGCCGAUACUAGAAUUGCUAUAGAAGCUUCUAAACAAGUCUUUGAUAAGUCACAACUCUUGAUUUUAGACCUCAAAUCAGAUAGGAUUACCCGCUGAACUUAAGCAUAUCAAUAAGCGGAGGAAAAGAAACUAACAAGGAUUCCCCUAGUAACGGCGGGUGAAGCGGGAAGAGCUCAAAUUUGUAAUCUGGCACUUUCAGUGUCCGAGUUGUAAUCUCGAGAAGUAUUUUCCGCGUCGGACCGCAUACAAGUCUGUUGGAAUACAGCGUCAUAGUGGUGAGAACCCAGUAACUGAUGCGGAUGCCCGAUGCUUUGUGAUAUACUUUCGAAGAGUCGAGUUGUUUGGGAAUGCAGCUCAAAUUGGGUGGUAAAUUCCAUCUAAAGCUAAAUAUUGGCGAGAGACCGAUAGCGAACAAGUACCGUGAGGGAAAGAUGAAAAGCACUUUGGAAAGAGAGUUAACAGUACGUGAAAUUGUUGGAAGGGAAACACUUGACGUCAGACUUGCGUUUUGGAGUUCAGCCGCAAGGUGUAUUCUUCAAUUGGCAGGCCAGCAUCAGUUUUCGGGGGUGAAAAAUCGUGGUUUGAAGGUAGCAGUUUCGGCUGUGUUAUAGCUUUCCCUGGAUUCAUCUUUGGGGACUGAGGAACGCAGUACGCUUUUUGCGAAGCUCUCGAGCU